UACGUAGGGUGCAAGCGUUGUCCGGAAUUAUUGGGCGUAAAGAGCUUGUAGGCGGUUUGUCGCGUCUGCUGUGAAAAUCCGGGGCUCAACCCCGGACUUGCAGUGGGUACGGGCAGACUAGAGUGUGGUAGGGGAGACUGGAAUUCCUGGUGUAGCGGUGGAAUGCGCAGAUAUCAGGAGGAACACCGGUGGCGAAGGCGGGUCUCUGGGCAGUAACUGACGCUGAGGAGCGAAAGCGUGGGGAGCGAAUGGG
rnacentral:rRNA from 1 species